rnacentral:lncRNA from 1 species
CCACCCCCAUCUCUCUCUGUAGAUGACAUUAACAUGUCCUUAGUCACCGUGUUCUCCAGAACCACUGCAUCUAGAACCUUACAGAGCUAGUUAGUGCCACAAUAGGGAAGACCAGCUUGAAAACGGUUAGGAAAAAAAUGGCAGGCACCUAUCAGAUGAAUCUCAUCUUAAAGGGUCUAAGGCUGCUUGAAAGCAGGUAGGCAGCUUUGAGCUGUGAGCGCCCCUCACAUGCACUUUGGAGCAGCAGACGCUAAGCCAGCUCUUCCCCAGUAAGGUAGGAAGAAAACGAGGGGGCUGAGUUUGGGAGAGUUCUGAAAAUUCUAACAAGCCUUCUUUGUUUAUCUUCUCUAGGCUUCCGCAGCCGGUCUGCAUGUAGUUGGGAUAAAUUCAGCCCAGGAGGAAAAUCAGCGCUGCCUCCCCCUCUCUCCUCCCAUUUUAGGUGAGAGGAGGAGGUGCCGUGGGGGUAGAGAAAGAUCUGGAGAGCUUGCCAGCUGCGUACUGAAGUAACAUCUGAAACACAUCUGGCUUCUGCUGAGGACAAAGCGCUAUGUCAGAGGAGGAGGAAGAAGCUGGAAAGGAACCGUUGUGGAGUUGGCAUAUGGGUCACUCUGAAAAAACACAGCAAACCACAGAUGACUCAGUGAUGCAGGAUGCUCUUCAGCAAGUCUGAGGACCCUAAUGAAACUGGAGCCAGAGUCACGGUAUGCCCACUGGCCAGCUCUCCUAAAUUAUUAUUCUGUGCUUCUUAGAAACUUCAAGGGACGCCACUCUUUUGAACAUUUGAAGCCCUAAAGCCACUGACAUCACAUAACUGAAAGUUUUGAUCAUCACCAAUCCCAUCUUAGCUUCCAACUGACUACACUCCUCCCUACUCCAUCAUCGUUGAUGCAGUUUCCCUGUUGGUAACAUCAGUUAAACUGAGCACACUCCUCCCUACUCCAUCACCGUUGAUGCAGUUUCCCUGUUGGUAACAUCAGUUAAAGCAGAAGUUAAGCCCAAACUGCUUACGCCAAGCUUCAAGUGCUUACUUGGAGCAACAAGCAAAGAACAAUGAGUUGUCUCACAAGCUGACACCAGCAACUCUUUCCCUGUCCACAAAAUGUUCACCAAUAUCUGCAGAAUAUCAGCACACUUACAAGCAGCUCCUAGAACUGCAGUGCUCGGAUGUCAGGAUGAGGUACUGCAGUGCACAAUAUUUUUAGCAUCCUUUCCCAACUGGCACAAUUUCUCAAAAGACAGUGUUGCUAUGCACCUACGCAUUCACUGAAUAGAAUGUGACCUUUCUUUUACCUUUUGCUUAAUUUUAUUCUUGAAAUUUGGUUGUAAUACAGCAGUAAGAUAUGAGCUACAACUUGCCUCUUGAGAUGCGCCAUGAGGUACCGGAGCGUCUCGCAGUGGGCAGGCGGCAGCGAUCUCAGUGCUUCGUGAAGGGUCUCCAAUUGCUCGUCAGGGUCCAUAAUUUCUACAACAUCAAGGAGAGAUGCUCUAGCAGAAAACUGAUGUGAGCUCAUGGGAUGCUUUGUAAAGCUAGUGACAACGAUUUCUCACAGCCAAAACCCAGCUGUCCAAGGCCACCUUAGGUUCAGGGUGGGAAUACAGUUUGAUGGGCCUUUUCCCCUUGAGGGUCUUAGGGUCUGGCACAUGAGGAAAGUGGAUACACAAGAUAUUGGGUAUGCAGCUCUAUCACAUGCGGAUACAUGUAGAGACAUGGAGAAAGCCUUACACAUACUAAGGAGUUCAUCUGACAAUGGCAUACAUAUUGCUCAGGAUAUUAAAAAUCCCUUUGUAGUACACAUGACAAGGUGGUCCACUGCCCCUGUGAUUCCUGGCAAGUCUUCCUGAUAAUUUUUUUCAUGACAUUGUUUUUCUUUGGAGUGAUACGGAAGAACUCAUGCCUCAUGCAUGCCAGGCAAGCACUCUACCACUGAGCAAUAGGCCAGCUCUUUAUUCUUCUAAAUCAAGAAAUGGAGCAUCUACCAUUUGUUUGCUGUACUUAUUACACUCGGUGUUAUAUAACAAAAUGAAGUCUCCCUUCAAAGCAUGGGCACUCUCCAUUUCUUGAGUAUGUUCUGAAGAACACACUGCACACAAGUCUAAGUGUGCUGUGCCAUGGUGGGACCCUGGAUAAGGGGUUCCCCUAAAGGAGUCCAUCAUGAAGGGAGACCUCCAUCUGGUCAUCUGAGAGCUGCACUGAGGCCCAUACACCAGCCACUUUCCAUAAGAACUCUGCUCGAGCUAUCAAUCACACCUGUAAUACAAGGAGCUGAUGCUGUCGGAACUCUGUGCUCUUGAAGAGCACCACAGUACACCAGCUCUCUGGUUACAGGAGUGCCUUACGUGCUGGUCUCAGCCAACCACAACAGGACCUCACACUCCUAACCAACAUGAUAACCUCGAAAUGCUGGGAAGACUCCAUCGGCCCUGUAUCCAAUGUUUGAGACAGAAGACUGAAACUCUAGUCUCUAACAAAUAACCAGCCCAGCUCAAUGGCAAUGUAGACUGGGUCCAGUAAAUGCCAGUGCAGAGCAAAGGCUGGGCUCAGGCACGCAGAGCAGAUCUAAUGACUGUCAGAAUAUAUAUCAUCAGUGACUGAGGCCAUUUAGUUCAAAAGGACCUUUGACUACUCUACAGUUUUGGUCCAAAGCUUUCUCAAUUCCCUGUUCAUUUCUUUAUAAUAAAGAAUAUGUGUUUUGCCUUUUGCCAUA